GUGUAAAAAAGAUGCAUAUGUUUGUGUAUAGUUAUGAAAUUCUUGCAAAUGAGUUUGGCACCACCUUUUGGUCACAUGCCGCCAGCACCCUUUUAUAUAACCAGCUGCAUUCUGGGAGAUCCACAGCACAUAGACGGAGCAGUGCUGUGGGUAAGUCCGUCUCAGCAGAGCUCCCAAAAUAUUGCUAAAAAUAUACUUUUAUCACGUUGGUAACUAUUCAGCUCUGCUGUGUUUUGUUUAAUAGCAAUGUGUAGAUCAAUAUUUGUGAGCUGGUGGUUAAUAUAAGCUAUUUUGCAUCUUUUUAAUCGGAGUUUGUUAAUCGCACGUGCUCAGUUAAUAAUGAGCCCAUUCUGUUUAGGCUGGCUGGCUGAUCGUUUUGUAAUUGUGAUUGCUGAACUCAUUGCAGGUAGGUUUGUUUGUUUGUUUGUUUGUUUAUCAUAAAAGAUUAUUUAUUCAUUUGUCUAAGUUUACGUUGUAAAAAAUGUUUUGGCAUUGCCGCCAUUGUAGUGUUUGUGUCCGCCACAAGACGGCAGUGUUCUUUUUGUUUUGUUAUAUGUAUAAAGAAAACUGUAAACUGCCGACAGCACAUAGACGGAGCAGUGCUGUGGGCUGGCUGGCUGAUCGUUUUGUAAUUGUGAUUGCUGAACUCAUUGCAGGCAUAUGAAUAAAGAAACCCCUUCAUCCACCAACCAGUGUCGUGUGAUAAAAGGACAGGACGAGACACUAAAGGUCACAUUGGUGCCGUGACUCGUGACUUCAUUCAAGAACUGGAGGUCGUCCUGUCAUCACUUCAGCCUGUAGGACUAUUGAGGGAGAGUCACACUAUACCACAAUCCUUCACCAGCACCCAUAUAUGAACCCAGCUGAGGUGCUUUGCUAGCUGCAUGAGACUGCUGGGAAUAUUAACCUGUCAGACCAUCAGACCAGAACCACAGGAAGCUCCAGCACAUCGUACACUGUGUUGUAAAUGACAGUAGAUGAGAGGAGACUAGCAGACCAGCACCAGCGCAUCAUGUGUCACACAGCUGUACAUCAACUUCUGGUGCUAAAAUAUCCUCACCAGUGCAGUCCAACAACCACAGAAGAUCCCUGUCCAUGAUAUUCAAGAUCAACCUGAAGAGACUCCACAGAUCUUCAGUCACAUCAACUGUAGUCUGUUUAAUUAGAGUAAAAAAUAAACUAUAAUUAUAGAAA